rnacentral:rRNA from 1 species
CCUACGGGUGGCUGCAGUGAGGAAUAUUGGUCAAUGGACGCGAGUCUGAACCAGCCAAGUAGCGUGAAGGAUGACUGCCCUACGGGUUGUAAACUUCUUUUAUAGGGGAAUAAAAUGUGGCACGUGUGACAUUUUGUGUGUACUUUAUGAAUAAGGAUCGGCUAACUCCGUGCCGGCAGACGCGGUAAUACGGAGGAUCCGAGCGUUAUCCGGAUUUCUUGGGUUUAAAGGGAGCGUAGAUGGGUUGUUAAGUCAGUUGUGAAAGUUUGCGGCUCAACCGUAAAAUUGCAAUUGAUACUGGCAGUCUUGAGUACAGUAGAGGUAGGCGGAAUUCGUGGUGUAGCGGUGAAAUGCUUAGAUAUCACGAAGAACUCCGAUUGCGAAGGCAGCUCACUAGACUGCAACUGACACUGAGGCUCGAAAGUGUGGGUAUCAAACAGGAUUAGAUACCCUUGUAGUC